AGAAGUCGUAACAAGGUUUCCGUAGGUGAACCUGCGGAAGGAUCAUUGCAGUGACCCUGACCAAAACAGACCGCGAACGCGUCACCCCUGCCCGCCGAGCCUCGCGCGCGAGGCGACCGAGCCCCCGGGCCGCAACAGAACCCACGGCGCCGACGGCGUAAGGAACACACCGAUACGCCCCGCGCCGGCCCGGUCGGCCCUGGCCGUCCGGCGGCGCGGCGCGAUACCACGAGCUAAAUCCACAACGACUCUCGGCAACGGAUAUCUCGGCUCUCGCAUC
rnacentral:misc_RNA from 1 species